UUCGUGGGGCCCCAAAACCUUUACAAUAGUAACAUCAGAGGUCACUGAUUACAGAUCAUCAUCACAGAUAUAAAAGUAAUGAAAAAGUUUGAGAUAGUGCAAGAAUGAUCAAAAUGUGACACAGAGACACACAACGUUUUUAGCAAGCAUACUUUAGGAAACUGAACUGAACUUGAAACGGAAACUACCCUUCCAAAAUCAUCUCCAAGAGUUAUUUACAGACUAAAUGAGACAGUGUAUAUCUAACAUUGCUUUGUGGAUGCUAUCAAGUGCUGGCAAAUGUGUGGGAGAAUGAAUGGAAAACUUCAUCAAUUUCUAGGAUAGUAAAUUGGUGCUGCUAUUUUGGAGAGCAAUUUGUCACCCUUCAGGGGAAACUGAAUAUGCACAUCCUCUAAGACCCAGCAGUUUCACUUCAAAGAAAAUUUCUUAUAUGCACAGAGACUUGUACAAGGAUAUUUAUCACAACGUUGUUUGUAAUAACAAAGGGCUGGAAAUAAACCAAAUGGCCAAUGAUAAGAAUUGAUAAAUGUGGUAAAUGCCUAAAAUAGAAUGUCACACAGCAGUUAAAAAAUCAUUUAUCCACUAAUUAAGCAAAGGACAAAAAGCCUCAACAGAAAAAAAAAAGAUAAAAGACUUGAAUAGUCACUUUGCCAAACAUUCAACACACGUACAAAAACAUGGGCAAGUUCAUUGGUUGUCAAGGAAGUUCGAAUUAAAGCCACAUUUUGCAGGUACAACACUGGCACAAGUUUAAGUCUGAUGAUACCAAGUCUUGGAGAAGGUUGAAGCUACUGGAAAACCUGCCCUCUGCUGGUGGGAGUUCAAAUUGCUGCAAGCUCUUUGGACAAUAAUUUGGCAUCAUCUAGUGAAGCUGAAGAUAUGUGUGCUUGAGACUCAGAAAUUCCCCUUUGUGACAUCAGGAUGCUCCUGCACAUAUGCUUAAGAACAUUCAUGCCAGCUUUGUUUAUAUAACAAAAACCUGGAAACAACCCAAAUGUCUGAGGAUGGGAAAUGGAUAAAUAAUGGUGCAUAGUUAUGAAAAUGAAUACACAACAGCUACAAGCAUCUACUGGAAUGAAUCUCACGUGCAUUAUGUUGUAGAAGAAUAUGUAUAAUUCCGUUUAUGUAAAGUUUAAAAACAUGUACAACUAAAUGAUAUGUUAUUGAUGAGUAUAUGACAUAUAUGAUAAAGGCAAAGAAUAAAUAAAGUAAGGAAAAGUAAGACAAUAAGAGUUUGGGAUACUGGUUACCUAUUGUGGGGAAGGAUGGUGGGGACAGGUGGGACACCUUGGGGAUUAUCUGAUACUGGCAGU